UACGUAGGGCGCAAGCGUUAUCCGGAAUUAUUGGGCGUAAAGAGCUCGUAGGCGGUUUGUCGCGUCUGCCGUGAAAGUCCGGGGCUCAACCCCGGAUCUGCGGUGGGUACGGGCAGACUAGAGUGAUGUAGGGGGAGACUGGAAUUCCUGGUGUAGCGGUGGAAUGCGCAGAUAUCAGGAGGAACACCAAUAGCGAAGGCAGCUCGCUGGGACGUACUGACACUGGAGGCGCGAAAAGCGUGGGGGAGCGAACAGG
rnacentral:rRNA from 1 species